GACGAACGCUGGCGGCGUGCCUAAUACAUGCAAGUCGAACGAACUCUGGUAUUGAUUGGUGCUUGCAUCAUGAUUUACAUUUGAGUGAGUGGCGAACUGGUGAGUAACACGUGGGAAACCUGCCCAGAAGCGGGGGAUAACACCUGGAAACAGAUGCUAAUACCGCAUAACAACUUGGACCGCAUGGUCCGAGUUUGAAAGAUGGCUUCGGCUAUCACUUUUGGAUGGUCCCGCGGCGUAUUAGCUAGAUGGUGGGGUAACGGCUCACCAUGGCAAUGAUACGUAGCCGACCUGAGAGGGUAAUCGGCCACAUUGGGACUGAGACACGGCCCAAACUCCUACGGGAGGCAGCAGUAGGGAAUCUUCCACAAUGGACGAAAGUCUGAUGGAGCAACGCCGCGUGAGUGAAGAAGGGUUUCGGCUCGUAAAACUCUGUUGUUAAAGAAGAACAUAUCUGAGAGUAACUGUUCAGGUAUUGACGGUAUUUAACCAGAAAGCCACGGCUAACUACGUGCCAGCAGCCGCGGUAAUACGUAGGUGGCAAGCGUUGUCCGGAUUUAUUGGGCGUAAAGCGAGCGCAGGCGGUUUUUUAAGUCUGAUGUGAAAGCCUUCGGCUCAACCGAAGAAGUGCAUCGGAAACUGGGAAACUUGAGUGCAGAGGAGGACAGUGGAACUCCAUGUGUAGCGGUGAAAUGCGUAGAUAUAUGGAAGAACACCAGUGGCGAAGGCGGCUGUCUGGUCUGUAACUGACGCUGAGGCUCGAAAGUAUGGGUAGCAAACAGGAUUAGAUACCCUGGUAGUCCAUACCGUAAACGAUGAAUGCUAAGUGUUGGAGGGUUCCGCCCUUCAGUGCUGCAGCUAACGCAUUAAGCAUUCCGCCUGGGGAGUACGGCCGCAAGGCUGAAACUCAAAGGAAUUGACGGGGGCCCGCACAAGCGGUGGAGCAUGUGGUUUAAUUCGAAGCUACGCGAAGAACCUUACCAGGUCUUGACAUACUAUGCAAAUCUAAGAGAUUAGACGUUCCCUUCGGGGACAUGGAUACAGGUGGUGCAUGGUUGUCGUCAGCUCGUGUCGUGAGAUGUUGGGUUAAGUCCCGCAACGAGCGCAACCCUUAUUAUCAGUUGCCAGCAUUAAGUUGGGCACUCUGGUGAGACUGCCGGUGACAAACCGGAGGAAGGUGGGGAUGACGUCAAAUCAUCAUGCCCCUUAUGACCUGGGCUACACACGUGCUACAAUGGAUGGUACAACGAGUUGCGAACUCGCGAGAGUAAGCUAAUCUCUUAAAGCCAUUCUCAGUUCGGAUUGUAGGCUGCAACUCGCCUACAUGAAGUCGGAAUCGCUAGUAAUCGCGGAUCAGCAUGCCGCGGUGAAUACGUUCCCGGGCCUUGUACACACCGCCCGUCACACCAUGAGAGUUUGUAACACCCAAAGUCGGUGGGGUAACCUUUUAGGAACCAGCCGCCUAAGGUGGGACAGAUGAUUAGGGUG
rnacentral:rRNA from 2 species